GAUGAACGCUGGCGGCGUGCCUAAUACAUGCAAGUCGAGCGAACGGACGAGAAGCUUGCUUCUCUGAUGUUAGCGGCGGACGGGUGAGUAACACGUGUAUAACCUACCUAUAAGACUGGGAUAACUUCGGGAAACCGGAGCUAAUACCGGAUAAUAUUUUGAACCGCAUGGUUCAAAAGUGAAAGACGGUCUUGCUGUCACUUAUAGAUGGAUCCGCGCUGCAUUAGCUAGUUGGUAAGGUAACGGCUUACCAAGGCAACGAUGCAUAGCCGACCGGAGAGGGUGAUCGGCGACACUGGAAGUGAGACACGGACCAGACUCCUGCGGGAGGCAGCAGUAGGGAAUCUUCCGCAGUGGGCGAGAGCCUGACGGAGCAACGCCGCGUGAGUGAUGAAGGUCUUCGGAUCGUAAAACUCUGUUAUGAGGGAAGAACAUAUGUGUAAGUAACUGUGCACAUCUUGACGGUACCUAAUCAGAAAGCAACGGCUAACUACGUG
rnacentral:rRNA from 1 species